AGGAUGAGGCAGGAACGAAAGUCCACAUCCACGUCACAUUAUAGUUUUGAUCCGUUUGUUUUGUGACCUUUACAGAAGGUCCUUUGAUUUAGAUUACAUAAAAUCUCCUUUACAUAUUUUAAAUUUACAGCAAAUAUUCAAAAUGUCACUAAAGAUGCCACAAUAUUGAUAUAAUUUAUCUAAAGGAAAUGAAAGCUUUUAUGGCCACACCCAGACUUUCGAUCUCAACACGUCAUUCAAAGCUCAUCUGCAUGACUGUAUUUCAACCAGUUGCUACAACGCAUCCCAAAGCAACUGCUUUGCCACUGCGGACUGUGUGAAAGCAAAAUCAGUGAACAACAUGGACGUGACUGAUUAUUUUGCUAUUGGUGAUCUGUACCAAUUUUUCCGCUCCAAGAAGACAGAAAUGUCAUGCAUGGAAAAGCCGGAGCUGUUCCUCAACCAUCUCUGUGAUCAUGACCUGGUGGAAGAGAAUCUCUGCAAUGAAGUCAUCCAGAUGAGGUCUGAGGAGAAGGUAAAUGGUGUAUAUGAGGUUUUGAAGAAGCUGCAGGAUCAACCCCAAAUUAUAAAGACUUUCUGGAGUUGCAUCUUUAAAAAGCACAUGCUGCAGAAAUACCCUACUCUCCAAGAGCUGUACAACGAACUCAACAGCACUUCCCUCAUUAGGAAGGACCAGCAGAAGGUCAUCAUGAAACCACAAAUCUUCAUGACACCUGUGGGGACAUGCGGGGGGUUGAACAAGGAGGUGACUGGUAACGACUUUGGCAGUAACUGGACGAAAUCAGUGAGCAACUUAGACAUGCCGGAUUAUUAUACGAUUGAAGACCUGUACCGAUUUUUCCGUUCCAAGAAGACAGAAAUGUCAUGCAUGGAAAAGCCAGAGAUGUUCCUCAACCAUCUCUGUGAUCAUGACCUGGUGGAGGAGAAUCUCUGUAAAGUGAGACUGUGUUUUUAUAUACAGGAUGCGUGCUUACAGUCACUUUUAAACCAACCAUUUUAGAUUGAUUAAGCAGUAAAGUUAUUUUGGACUUU
rnacentral:lncRNA from 1 species